CGCCCUGUCCUUGGGGAGUAGCCUGCUUCCUCCCAGAAGCGCCUGCAUCAACACGAUCGGUCUUCCAGACCGUGGUGCAGGCGACCUCCCGGUUGGCGAGACCAUCGACACAUCCUGCGACCGGUCGGGCGCAGUGAUGUGUCGUCGUCACUGCCCGACCGCGAG
rnacentral:sRNA from 2 species